rnacentral:rRNA from 1 species
GACGAACGCUGGCGGCGUGCUUAACACAUGCCAGUCGAACGGAAAGGCCCUGCUUUUGUGGGGUGCUCGAGUGGCGAACGGGUGAGUAACACGUGAGUAACCUGCCCUUGACUUUGGGAUAACUUCAGGAAACUGGGGCUAAUACCGGAUAGGAGCUCCUGCUGCAUGGUGGGGGUUGGAAAGUUUCGGCGGUUGGGGAUGGACUCGCGGCUUAUCAGCUUGUUGGUGGGGUAGUGGCUUACCAAGGCUUUGACGGGUAGCCGGCCUGGGAGGGUGACCGGCCACAUUGGGCCUGCGAUACGGCCCAGACUCCUACGUGAGGCAGCAGUGGGGAAUAUUGCACAAUGGGCGGAAGCCUGAUGCAGCAACGCCGCGUGCGGGAUGACGGCCUUCGGGUUGUAAACCGCUUUCGCCUGUGACGAAGCGUGAGUGACGGUAAUGGGUAAAGAAGCACCGGCUAACUACGUG